rnacentral:rRNA from 1 species
UACGAAGGGGGCUAGCGUUGCUCGGAAUUACUGGGCGUAAAGCGCACGUAGGCGGCUUCUUAAGUCAGGGGUGAAAUCCUGGAGCUCAACUCCAGAACUGCCUUUGAUACUGGGAAUCUCGAGUCCGGGAGAGGUGAGUGGAACUGCGAGUGUAGAGGUGAAAUUCGUAGAUAUUCGGAAGAACACCAGUGGCGAAGGCGGCUCACUGGCCCGGUACUGACGCUGAGGUGCGAAAGCGUGGGGAGCAAACAGG